rnacentral:rRNA from 1 species
CCUACGGGAGGCAGCAGUAAGGAAUAUUGGUCAAUGGACGCAAGUCUGAACCAGCCAUGCCGCGUGAAGGAUUAAGGCCCUCUGGGUUGUAAACUUCUUUUAUAGGGGACGAAAAAAGGGCAUUCUUGCUCACUUGACGGUACCCUAGGAAUAAGCACCGGCUAACUCCGUGCCAGCAGCCGCGGUAAUACGGAGGGUGCAAGCGUUAUCCGGAUUUACUGGGUUUAAAGGGUGCGUAGGUGGGUUGGUAAGUCAGUGGUGAAAUCUUCGAGCUUAACUCGGAAACUGCCAUUGAUACUAUCAAUCUUGAAUCAUCUAGAGGUAAGCGGAAUAUGCCAUGUAGCGGUGAAAUGCUUAGAUAUGACAUAGAACACCAAUUGCGAAGGCAGCUUACUAUGGAUGUAUUGACACUGAGGCACGAAAGCGUGGGGAUCAAACAGGAUUAGAUACCCUGGUAGUCCACGCCCUAAACGAUGGAUACUCGACAUUUGUGAUAUACUAUAAGUGUCUGAGCGAAAGCAUUAAGUAUCCCACCUGGGAAGUACGACCGCAAGGUUGAAACUCAAAUGAAUUGACGG